CAUGCAUGUGGAUAUAUGUUAAGCCUCAGCUACUCUUUCUAUAUCAUAACUGUCCCCAUGUUUGUGAAAUCUGGUGUACAACUGCAAGAACAAUGAUGGCUUGACAGGUGGUUUACCUUUCAGUGAGUUCUAUAAGGAGGAUGCAUCAACUCUUCCAGCCAGUGUACACAUUACCACAUGAAAGCAGCAGCUUAUAAACAGCACAACACCAUACAGCACAAAUUAUAUAUUCGCCACGUGUUAUUAAACUUACAUCAUUAAAGUACAUUAGAAUUGGUGCGCUAAGGCUGGUGCACAAUAUAUGCAUAUACUUUAAACAAUCAUAAAUAAUGCAGGAGCUUGGAAUAUGAUUGGCGAUUCUCGGAACUGCUUUGAUAAUACAAAAGUCAAGGCUUUGUUUUUGGCAUCACCCACUCCAAUUAGUUUUCUUUCUUUUUCCAAUUGAAGCAUUGGCAAGGUUUGUGCCAUGCGCUUCGACCGUGAUUUUUUCUUGUUCGCGCACGGCCAUGACCAUAAUACAAGAAAAUCGGCCCAGUAACGCAGUGGUCCCUGCCUACUUUUUCAUAUACUUUACCGCAAUACAUUACGUAUGCUUCACCGCAUAACAUGACUGUAUUGCGGCAAAGCUGAUUUUACGGAACUGACAUUAUGUAACGGACCUUUUGUUCUUCUGCUGCUCGCAUGAGCAUAAGCUCGAAAAACCACAAAAUAAAGACUUGGCUUGCUGCUGGUUGAUUUCUAGCUAACAUUUCGAGACGUCCACGUUGUUAACAAAAGCAUCGGUGAAGUUUCUCGCGCUCGGACGCGCUUCAAAAGGCAGCGUGUGACCACCUAUAAUUAAGGCAGUCAUAAGCGGCAACGAAAUCCACACAAGGUACAUCAACUUCCGCAAAGCUACUGGGCAACGCCAUCAAUAACUGGCACACGGGCCACCCAGGAGCUGGCAAACGCUGCGAUGACAUCCACACAAACCACGUCGGUUUUUCACAAAGCUAUUGGGCAACACGAUCAGUCACAGGCACAGGUGAAGUUCGCAAAACACUACAUGAGCAGAACUACUACGGCCAUACUCAAUCACUUCGCCACAAGCUCUCACAUACAACGACAUCAAACAGAUACAAUCACUUCUCCACAGCCACUGACCCAGGCGAAGACCGCACGGACAGAACGGAAGCACCGAUUCUGGGCUCGAUCAUCGCGUUCCACAAAGCUAGUAAAGCACACGAGCAGCCAGGGGCACGGCCGAAGUCCGCACGGGCAGAAUGGAGCUCACGUCGCGUCCAUCACUUUAGCGACACCUAUUUAAAAAUAAUAUACGGAGCCAAGCCAAAUCAUUAUUUAGCGUCUAUUUGGGUGAACCUAACGCUUUCGGGCCCUAACCGUUCGUACGACCAGGGCACUAUAACGGUUACCCCCCCCUUUCCACUCCUACGACCGGGUCGCAGGAAUGGCGGCCCAGCAGAAAAACGGUUCUUUAUUCCAUGACACGGCGACGCUCAGUACCACCGGAUGCUACAGAAGCACCGGUCACACAACGUAGAUUCUGUGCUACCGGAGGUCGCCGAGGGCCGCUUUAACACCACCCCCACUGCACCGCUUUCUGCCGAACACAGAUCCCACAGAAGAGAGAUCACGCAACAGCGAUAAACAAAUCGCAGUUAGCGCGCUUCGACGACAUGCCACUGCGGUCCCUCAAAAGUCCCUAGAUGAUUCUCUCCCUAGAUGCCUAGGACAUGAUCACGUGAUGCAUUCUGGGCGCACGACGCGGUGACGUGCGGUGACGCCACUUUAUUCUGUGGUAUCGUCCGUUUUGUUCGCGGCUUCGUACGUUCGAGCUCGGCGUCGUGGCAUAAUUAAUAUUGUAGUCAUGUUUGCGAUGGCUUUAAGGGACAUUGAGGAGCAGCAGCAAUCGAAACAGUUGAAAUUCGGUGGAGGCAUGUUACUGUUCGCGUGAACAGCUGUUGUCAGCAUCGGUUUCAGUGUGUUCGUAAGCGAAUGUGCCCGUCUGUGUGCGUCUGAUCGUUGUUGUUAUAUCAUUACAAUGUUUUCAGGAGCUCGCAUAUUUAUUGUGCCUACAGGCAUUGGGGGCCCACGGGUGAACCUUUAUAAGAGUAAAGUGAUGGAGCACGGGGCCACAGUUGUGAGUGACGAAAACUUGGCCACACACGUAAUCGUGGCGGAGUCGCUGGACGGAGACCGUAUUUCUAAAAUAGUGGACACAGCAAACUUACGUGCAUCCGUGAAAAUCGUAAAAUGUACGUGGUUAAGCGAGUGCUUCAAGAGUAGAUCAUUGGUCGAAACAACUACGUAUGAGCUCCACUACAAGCCAACCCCGAGUGCUUUCACAAUGUGCUGCCAAGAUUCUAACGGCGCCCCUUCUAAACGGGCAAGACUUUUUCGUGAGCCUGCAGAUCUUGCACCUCAGCCUGGUGUCUCUCGGAGCACCGAAUCCUCGAUACUGCAUCAAACGGCCGUUUCGGGCAAGUGGGUGUGCGCAGUUGCCUCCACAGACGUUCCUGUGAAUAAGAAUUCCCACAUAACUGACCAAUUGGAGACCGAGGUUGUUUUAUUCCAGGCCAUGGUUGAAACCUACCAAAGCACUAAAGACCACUGGAGGGCCCUUGGUUAUGAAAAAGCCAUCAUGCAGCUCAAGCGGCAUGCUACUGAAAUCACGACAUGGGAGGAAGCAAGGGCCCUGCCUAACGUUGGGAAAAGGCUUGCAGACAAAAUUUGGGAGAUUGUUCAGCAAGGCAGGCUCCAAAAACUGGAGGAAUUCCAAAGCCAGGAGCAUCUUGUUGCACAGAACCUGUUCACAAAAGUCUGGGGUGCCGGACCAUCAACAGCACAAAAGUGGGUCCAGCAGGGUUUUCGUUCACUGGAAGAACUUGCCGCCAAGGGAAGUCUGAGCAGCCAACAGAAGAUUGGGCUCAAGCACUUCCAUGACUUCCUUGACAAGAUGCCAUAUGCUGAAGCAAGGCUGAUUGCAGACACAGUGAAGACAGCUGCCCUGUCGAUCCAGCCUGGACUUGAGGUGAUUCCGUGUGGCUCCUAUCGCAGAGGCAGAGCCAUGUGUGGCGAUGUUGACAUUCUGAUCACACACCCUGACGGCAAGUCUCAUGAGGGUGUGCUCUGCAAGAUUCUACAGAUCCUUCACGAAAGCACAUCGUCGCCUGGACAUCUUUGUGGUGCCCCAGGAGGAAUUUGCCUGUUCUCUACUAGCCUUCACUGGUUCUGCCCAUUUUAAUCGUUCCAUGCGCCUCCUGGCUCGUCGCAAGAGCAUGUCCCUCAAUGACCAUGGCCUUUAUGCAGAUGUUUGCAGAACAGGGGAAGAAAAGAUAAGUCGUGGAAAACGGCUUCCCACACCAACAGAGGAAUCUAUUUUUGAACACCUUGGGCUUGAAUACCGACCUCCUGAAGAGCGAGACCACUAGCUACAUAGAUUUUAUAGAGUCUAUGUCUUUAAAAUUUAUAAUGUAUUCACUUGUAAAUUUAUAUUCUUAGAAGUGGAUUUCUGAAAGAAUGUGUGAUUUGUUUAUCAAUGAGCCUUUAUAAAAUACAGAAGAUUUAUAUAUUAUGUUUUGAGAGAGCACGCAAGUAUAUGUGUCUGUCAGUAGAUGUUAAAGUUCAGUUGGAGAGCUAUUAUUUGGAAGAAACACUUGAAUGAACACAUUUGUGCUAUUGCAUCACAAUUAAUGCCGUGAUAGCAUGUAAAAAGCCAAAUGAAUGUGAAAAGAUGCAUGAUCUCAGCAUGGUGAGAAGAGAUUUACUGGGUGUUGUAGUAAUUCCUAUUCACUUGUAUUGAAUGGUUCUUGUGCGUGUGUAUGCAUGCAUGUGAGGGAGUUAGCAAAUGAGUGUGUGCGUGCUUGAAUGCAUGGCAGCAUGGUACACAUUCAUGUGCACCAGACUGCUCCACAUGAGUGGGUAUUCUGUAGGUCGACAUGUCAAUUUUGUCUGCAGCAGAAGUUCGGAUUGGCGGGGCCGAUCGGCUGGGCAUGCGAAGGAGACAGGCGCCCCCACCCAAUCAGCACAUCAGAAGCCGACAAAAUGGACUUUUCCACUAGGUAAAAACUUACAGAAUACACCCCCAGAAGUGUGAACAGUUAUUUUUAUCCUCUCUUAAUUAGAAAUGUUUCUCCUUUGUUCACUGCUGUACAUCAAGGAUGUACAGCAGUGAACAAAGGAGAAACAUCAAGAAGUCAUCAAGGAACACAGAAUUUCAUUCCAAAUUUCAGAAGUUGACCUAAUAACAUGAAUUAGGCUUGUUGUAUGCAAGUUGAUUGUUGUGUGCAUCUUGUUGUCGGUCUCAUUAAAUCAUGAUGGGCUUGCA